rfam:Camelus ferus isolate Naran unplaced genomic scaffold scaffold104659, whole genome shotgun sequence.
GAGGAUAUAGCUUAAGUGGUAGGGCAUAUGCUUAGCAUGUAUGAGGUCGUGGGUUCAAUCCCCAGUAUCUCCU